rnacentral:rRNA from 10 species
AUCUCGGAAGCUAAGCAGGGUCGGGCCUGGUUAGUACUUGGAUGGGUGACCACCUGGGAAGACCAGGUGC